rnacentral:rRNA from 1 species
CCUACGGGAGGCAGCAGUGAGGAAUAUUGGUCAAUGGACGAGAGUCUGAACCAGCCAAGUAGCGUGAAGGAUGACUGCCCUAUGGGUUGUAAACUUCUUUUAUAAAGGAAUAAAACGAGGCACGUGUGCCUUUUUGCAUGUACUUUAUGAAUAAGGAUCGGCUAACUCCGUGCCAGCCGCCGCGGUAAUACGGAGGAUCCGAGCGUUAUCCGGAUUUAUUGGGUUUAAAGGGAGCGUAGAUGGGUUGUUAAGUCAGUUGUGAAAGUUUGCGGCGCAACCGUAAAAUUGCAAUUGAUACUGGCAGUCUUGAGUACAGUUGAGGUAGGCGGAAUUCGGGGUGUAGCGGUGAAAUGCUUAGAUAUCACGAAGAACCCCGAUUGCGAAGGCAGCUUACUAAACUGUGACUGACAUUGAUGCGCGAAAGUGUGGGUAUCAAACAGGAUUAGAUACCCCUGUAGUC